rnacentral:rRNA from 1 species
UACGUAGGGUGCAAGCGUUGUCCGGAAUUAUUGGGCGUAAAGAGCUCGUAGGCGGUCUGUCGCGUCUGCUGUGAAAACUCAGGGCUUAACCCUGAGCUUGCAGUGGGUACGGGCAGACUAGAGUGCGGUAGGGGAGACUGGAAUUCCUGGUGUAGCGGUGAAAUGCGCAGAUAUCAGGAGGAACGCCGGUGGCGAAGGCGGGUCUCUGGGCCGUAACUGACG